ACUUAAUACGAUAAUCAAAUAUUUCUUUUUUGUUCUGAUGGAAUUUUUAAAAACUUUAUACUGUUUGUGUGGCAACACUAUUUUCAAACCCAACCGAACCGCCAAUCUAACCGCGGUCUGUCAUUUCGUUUCUAAAGUGCUUGGCUGGAUUAUCCACACUCGUGCUUUUUAUUCAAAUUUAAAAUUCAAGAACGUUUUUUAUAUUCACCUAAAUACUAUAAAUUUUGGAUUUUUUUUAGUAAUGGCUGAGCAGCAAGCUGUCCCCGAUCCCCGUCACCCUGAGGCUCCCAGGCCACCUGGAGCUCCUCUUGUAGUUUCCCUACAAAGGGAACUCGAGGUGGUUUUCUCGGGAUGAUAACUUUUAUGUGGUCAGUCGCUCGAGGGGGGCCUCGACAAUCAUGAGGUGCGCCAGCGACCGGUGUCCAGCGCACUGGAUACUGCGGGAUGGGAUUUAUUACUCUAAGUAAUUCAAAAACUGCGAUUUCGACACUCAACGUUUAAAGCUGGACCGACGAUUGGGCAGCACAAUCAUUCCCCUACUCCCUGGGUGCUUAAUUGCAAUACAAUGUUCCAGGAACUAAAGAGGAGGGCUUCAGAGGAGAGUAUUCCUCUGAAUGCCAUAUAUGAGGAAGAAGCUGCCAGAUAUCCGGAUGCUGCAUCUCACCUGCUCUACGAGAGUGUGCUGCCAUCGAUGCGGAAGUGGAGGAGAAACUCACAGUCGGCUCAGCCACUCACCU